GGAUUAGAUACCCUGGUAGUCCACGCAGUAAACGAUGUACACUAGGUGUGGCGGAUAUUAAAAUCUGCUGUGCCCAAGCUAACGCAUUAAGUGUACCGCCUGGGGAGUACGGUCGCAAGACUAAAACUCAAAGGAAUUGACGGGGGCCCGCACAAGCGGUGGAGCAUGUGGUUUAAUUCGACGCAACGCGAAGAACCUUACCUGGGUUUGACAUCCUGUGAAUGUUUAAGAGAUUAGACAGUGCCUUCGGGAGCACAGAGACAGGUGCUGCAUGGCUGUCGUCAGCUCGUGCCG
rnacentral:rRNA from 1 species